UGGUGAGGAUCAAGCGGUUCAGAAAAUGGAUGGAUGGAUGGAUGGUUAUAUAUGUUCAAAACGAAAAAAAAUAACCUCCCAUCCAUCACCUCCCCCUUUUUACUUGACCAUAAACCUAUCAAAAGAAACAACAUUAACUCAUUCACUCCCAAAGACGUUUUGAAACGUCUUUUCAGACUUGGUCUAGAAUUGGCUGGUACUGAAUGAGUUAAUUCCACAAAGGCAACACACGAUGGUAACCAUGCUUCAAAUUUUUUGAAAUAAUCUUGGAACAAUCAACGGCUCCAUUUUAGUGAGCCUUGAUAAAGCCUCUUGCAGCUUUUAUACAUUUACACCACCUGGUCACUCUAAUUAAAUCCCCAGCAUGAAUCCAAUUAGUUAAAGAAGGACAGACUAAGACAGAGGGAGAUUUAGCGCCUUCUCACUGGGAUGCAUCAAGGUCAAGCAUCUGAGUGAAACGUCAGCAUAGUAUGUCAGUCCUGAAUGACUUGAUUAUGGUGUAAACAAAUUUUCAGUUUGUUUCAGAGCAGAAUGUAACUUCAGGCCUUUGUUCAAAAAUGAGUAAAAGUUAGUUUCUUCUUAAUUGCUUACGUGGGACUUGUUAUCAGCUGCAGCGCAGAUGUCCCAAAACUGAAAAUUGUCUAUUUAAAUAUAGUCAGAGUUACAUGUGAGUGAUUUGUUCAAAAUCCGAAACUAUUUUAUUAGCCCAUGAUUAGGGCGAACACACUAUGCAGAAAUGACACAAAAACAGUUAGAUUUGCGUAAAUCACAACAAACACAUUUGCUCACAAUGAACGCAAGACAAGGAAGCGUCACUUCAUCGUGUAAGGAAGCCAAGAGGAGUCAAGUCGCUUAUUCGGGUUUGCGCAGUUCGGUGGAAAAACUGGUUUUCGGUCAUAAUCCGAGGCAUAAAAAUCUAGAAUUUUCUGGUCCAAAACCGAUCUGGUCGAGAACAGAGGCGUUCGAAAACCGAGGUUUGACUGUACAAGUUUAUUAUAAAUAACAUUCGAGCCUGAAUAAAACAUGAAAGGUCAUUGGGAAUUUUGAGUAUAGCUUGAUUUUGUUCAUGAUAUCCAUCAAUCAAUCAGUAACAUAAAAAUGAGGUUGUGUCGAUGUGUGGCUAGUGUCGAUCGAUGUAGCUGGAUUGCGGGGUAGGCACAUCGAUACGUUGAUGAAAUGGACGUAUUGUUACACACCUAAUAAAUAUGUAUAUCAAUGUGUGUGUCUGUGUAGUUGAAAUAAUGAAAUGAUUUUAAUAAUAGUGAUUCAAUAUGACAAUCUGUAUGAUAUUGCAAAACCAUGCAAUAUGGAAGUAGAAUACAGCGAUAACAUUUAUUGCGAUAUUUACCAUGUACCUGAAGAAAUGCUUUUUUUUUUUUAUGAUCCAGUAAAAAAAAUAAAAUAAAAAUCACGAGACAAAAUCAGCAUUUACUGACUGAGGCUCAUUGAGAGCAACGCAGAGGAGUGUCUUCCUGCCAGACAACAUGUAGAAGAGCUGAUUUUUAAAAAAAAAUAUGAACGCGAAAUUGUUUACUGUUGCAUCAAAUCCGAAAAGAGUUCUUUCCGCGUGGCUUGAAUGUGAUUGUUCGUGGAGGAAAUCCAGCAAAGUUGCGCCACUCAAAGAAGAGAAAAAGUAAAAUUUGAACAUUGGAAUCAAUCGGGUGGCAGACAUUUCUUCACAAAUGACUUUGUGAAGUUUGGAGAUUCUGUGACUGAUUUUAUUAUUAUUUUCGUCCCAUCUGCUCUUUGUGAAGAUUCACAUUGCAACAUUUACCGAUCUGCCUUGAGGCGAGCUCGUCUCUAGCUUGUCUCCAGUGUUAACAGGUUGUAUUUUCAAUUAGAUGUAUGAAGUGUAUCAAUAUGCAACAUACAGUAUAUGUACAGCCGAAUGUUGAUGUGUGUAGGACUGGUUUUUAUUUGCAAAAUUUGCACCACUGCAGGUGGUGUAUCUGGUUUAAGGUAGCAGAACGCAAUCUUUGAUGGGUGGGUUACAUAAUUGUGUCUGCCAGUGUGUGUGGGAGCUGUGCUUCUCUCCUGCCGUUUUGCCUGAAUGUGGGCCAGCGUCUGAGGCUACUGAGAGUGUCAAUAUUCUAUUUGAAAUCAACUACAUUCACGAUGUACUGUAAACACUUAUUAAGAAGCAGGAGAAUAAUCAUCAAUCAACGAUUUUGAUAUUGAAAUUGAUGACGAAUAAACACAAUUAUUCAUUGACUUCAAAACUCACUUAAAAGAACAAGCACAAAAUAAAUGACUACAAAGUAUAAUACUACUAUGUUAAAAUAUGUAAUAUAAUAGCAAUAAAAAAUAUUAAUAUGCCUACCUCCUGCUGUGACCACCUUGUCCUCGUAGGAGUAGUCUGAUAUACCGUAUUGGCCCAAAUAUAAGACUAGUCUAGACCCUGAAUAUAAGACGACCCCAGUCUUAUAUUCAGGGUCUAGACAUUAUACCCGUUCACGCCGCUAGGUGGCGCCAGAUAUCAUUGAAGCGAAUGCUGAACUUGACUCGCCAGGCCAAAGUGAACCCCUGUCAUGAAGAAGAAAAAUAAAAAAUAGCGGUAAGAAAGAAAAGAGAAGAAAAUAAUAGAAGAGAUAACAGAAAAUGGAGAGACGUAGCGACAAUCUGGAGAAAAGUGGGUCGAAGAUCGGCCAGGUUAACUGGCACCUGAGGAGAAGUUAUGAUGUAAUUUAAAUUUCAAAAACCAGAAGCUAUUCAUUUACGAAUAUGAUUGCACUUUAGUUUACAUAUUUAAAUGUUCGGAUAUUAUGAUUUGAAUGAGGCAAAAUAACAUGCUUUUUCUCUCAAAUAUAUUGUUAUCAUUUGUUUCUGAUGUACUGGAAUUAUUUUCUGUAUAAAAAUUAAUUUGGUGUUUAAAAAGUAUUUUUUCAAACUUGAGUCUUGAAAAAGAGGGGGUCGUCUUAUAAUCAGGGCCAUUUUAUAUUCGGGCCAAUA